CACUGGGCGUCACCCUCGCCGGGGGUCGUGACGCCGACAUCAAUCCGGCUGGGUCCGGGUUGGCCGCCCGUCUGCGGGACGGCCAGGACCGAGCAACACCCACAGCAGACUGCGCCCGGAGAAGACCUGGCAACACCUCAUCGGACGCGGGUUCAAUUCCCGCCGGCUCCACUC
rnacentral:tmRNA from 1 species